UCAAAGAAAUUGACGGGGACCCGCACAAGCGGUGGAUGAUGUGGAUUAAAUUCGAUGCAACGCGAAAAACCUUACCUACCCUUGACAUGUCACUAACGAAGUAGAGAUACAUUAGGUGCUCGUAAGAGAAAGUGAACACAGGUGCUGCAUGGCUGUCGUCAGCUCGUGUCGUGAGAUGUUGGGUUAAGUCCCGCAACGAGCGCAACCCUUGUCUUUAGUUGCUACGCAAGAGCACUCUAAAGAGACUGCCGGUGACAAACCGGAGGAAGGUGGGGAUGACGUCAAGUCCUCAUGGCCCUUAUGGGUAGGGCUUCACACGUCAUACAAUGGUGCAUACAGAGGGUUGCCAACCCGCGAGGGGGAGCUAAUCUCAGAAAAUGCAUCGUAGUCCGGAUCGUAGUCUGCAACUCGACUACGUGAAGCUGGAAUCGCUAGUAAUCGCGGAUCAGAAUGUCGCGGUGAAUACGUUCCCGGGUCUUGUACACACCGCCCGUCAUACCAUGGGAGUGGGUUUUGCCAGAAGCCGUUAGCCUAACC
rnacentral:rRNA from 1 species